AUUGAACGCUGGCGGCGUGCUUAACACAUGCAAGUCGAUCGGUAACAGGUGUAGCAAUACAUGCUGACGAGAGGCGGACGGGUGAGUAAUGCUUGGGAAUCUGCCUAUUAGUGGGGGACAACCCGGGGAAACUCGGGCUAAUACCGCAUACGCUCUACGGAGGAAAGCCGGGGACCGCAAGGCCUGGCGCUAAUAGAUGAGCCCAAGUCGGAUUAGCUAGUUGGUAGGGUAACGGCCUACCAAGGCGACAAUCCGUAGCUGGUCUGAGAGGACGACCAGCCACACCGGAACUGAGACACGGUCCGGACUCCUACGGGAGGCAGCAGUGGGGAAUAUUGGACAAUGGGGGCAACCCUGAUCCAGCGACGCGCGUGGGUGAAGAAGGCCUGCGGGUUGUAAAGCCCUUUCGGNGGGGAAGAAAAGUCUCGACCUAAUACGUCGGGACCUUGACGUAACCCACUAAAGAAGCACCGGCUAACUCUGUGCCAGCAG
rnacentral:rRNA from 1 species